rnacentral:rRNA from 1 species
GUACUUCGACGGUUGGCAUCCCAAAUGGCUGUUGUGCUUUAAGGCAAGGACAAGCCAACCUAUGCGUCUCAUGUGGAAGCUGGAGACACGUGUAUCGUUCUUAAUGCAAAAGAUAUUUGUGUUACAGGAAGAAAAAUGACUGACAAAAUUUACUACUGGCACGCGGGGUAUAUUGGCCACCUGAAGGAAAGAAAGCUCAAGGACCAGAUGGCAAAAGACCCAACUGAAGUGAUCCGUAAAGUUGUCAUGUGCAUGCUCCCCCACAACAAAUUGUGUGAUGAUAGGGAUCACAAGCUGAGGAUAUUUGCUGAAGGCGAGCAUCCAUUUCAUGACCGGCCUCUCAAACCUGUCAUGCCGCCACGCAAAGUACGUGAGAUGCACCCCCGGGCAAGACGUGCGAUGAUAAGGACACAAAAGAAAGAUCAGGACAGGGAAGCUAAGAAAGCCGAGGGGGAAGCAACUAAAAAUGGAAAAGCUGCGGUCGCUGCAUAUGUCACCUUCAGAUGUGCGUGGACUAUGGAGAGACCUAUGAUUUGCGCCAAUGGAUCUACCCGAUGCAUUUUUUGGAUGAUGAUGUACCUCUUAUCCCUUUGA